CAUCUUAGGUGUGUUUGUAUCCGGAAUUUUUUCUUGCGCGGCAUUUAUUUUUGUCUCCUCACUCAGGGGCACUCGAAUUUUUAAAAUGACAUUUGCUCACAUGGCAAUUAUCUGGGUUGAUAUAAUGGAGUCUGAAAUUUUGCAUAGGAAAAUAUGUUUGGGAGCAAAAUAUUUACUUCUGUUAUAGUUAGAUAGCUCAAAACAAUUUAUAUUCGCAAUUAAGAAAACGAUUUCAGUAUUAGCUCACGAGUUUGAAGAUUAGACUUGAAAAUAUUUAGAGGAAAUACGAACAGAAAUCAUUUUACACCAACUUUCUCUUGAAGUAAAAUUACAAAUAUGUGCCUGAUUGUUAUUCUUGGGAAUAUGUAGGCGAAGGAGAUGAAUCAACGAGCACCAAGAGAAAUUAUCUGAACUAAAUAUGGAUUGGCUUCUGAAUAAACAUAAGUAAGGACUUAAAGAUUAUUUCUUUUAGUAUUUAGUUUAUGGAGUUCCUGUCUUGAAAACGAAAUGUUCCAAUGGUCACAAGAACCUUUGUAACAUUUACUAAGUAAAAAGAAAAGAAUUGUUAAAAGUUAUAAUUUUUUUGUUAGCAAGGUUUAUUUAAGCAUGAUUUAUGCAAUAACAUAACACACAUUAUGCAAUUAAUCUUAUAUUUUCAGACAAGCAAAUUUUCAUUAUUCAACCCAAACUGCCCUCUCAUUCCUUCUUUAAUCUUUUAUUAAUAUAAACGACUUUGAGAACAAACUAGAUCGAGUUUAAUUAGCACUAGAUAGGGUUUUUCAUUGAUGCGUUUCAUUACGAAAUCAUGAAUAAGAAAGAGUGACCAUUUGAACCCGCCUUGUCAGACAAAAACUUUAGCACACGCAUAUUUUUUAUAAGAAACCGUCUUUAAAAAACUAAUUAAUGGUAAAAACUAGGAACCCACAGUACUUGGUAGUCUCAGACUCCAUCUGAUAAACAUCGACUGGAAGUAACCUUUUUAAAUUGAUUAAAUUACCUAUUUCCAUAAAUAUAGAAUAAAACCAACUGUGUUUUCUGUCCUCUGUUAACGUACGCUAUUUUGUAAGGUAUUUAUUUAAACUGGCAUUUAACAAACAUGUAAAAGUUUUAGCCAACCAGAAAUUAAGAAAAAGAGUACUUUUCUCGAACUUAGUUGCUUAGAAUAAUUGGCAGCCAAAUAUAAGCAAAAUUGGACAACAAAUAUCUUCCAAGGCAUACUUUAAGUGAACAAGGUCUAAGUAAGACAUCACCCAUAACAUUACAUCCCCAUAGCCAUAGAUGUUAUAUACCAUAUCCCGGCUAUAAUGUGCCAACUCAGUCAGAAUACCUUUUUAUGGAAAGGAUAAAGUCUGUUCAGUAUUGGGGUAGCAACAACCUUUUUCUGUCCGGGAGUUUUUGUCCCAGUAGUAUUGUAGAGUAGUUCUUAUUGUAUUUUAUUGUAAAAUAUUGUAAAGUGUAGACAGUAAUAUGUACUGUAACUUUUUAUUGGAUUAUAUGUAUAUCAAAAGAACAAUAAUGCUUCUGGAAAACAAUUUUUCAGAAAAUAUACAGCCAAUUGCCAACGUUUGAUGCAGUUCGCCCCCUCUAGACAUGUCUGACGUCAUUGGUAUUAAAAUUGACUGAGAGAAAAUGGUAGACCGCAACAAUUCACGGUUUGAUUAAUCCAUUGUUUGAAAUUAGAUGAGUGUGCAAUCCCAUUACUUUGAGCAUGUUUUCUUGAGUGGGAACGCUCAUUAAGCAUGUUUGCUUUGUGUUGGACAUCGCUAUCAAUCGCGGAUAAAACUUAUUCGUUUUGUUUGAAUUUCGAUGACUUCUACGCGUGGUUGAAUAACAAAGUGGACCUAACAAAGGAAAGCAAAGGAAAGGAAAAGAUGUUUUCAAUAUAACGCAUCGCUCAAAUGGUUUCCGUGUUUGCCGAUUAGAAACCAUUGUGUUUUGUCAGUCUAAACAGACUGCAGGGAAAUUCGUCCUCGGCACGUGGAAUAUUUUGAUUCUGGCAAAGUUGCUGUCAAAACCGUCGUCUGGUUUCGUCGGUUACGCCCUUGGUCAUUACAUCGGAAAUGCCUGCUAUAUAAAGAAUCCAAAGCAACCGUUUUAUCAGUUAUAAGUGGUAACAUUCAAGUCGACAACAGAGUCUUACAACGCAGGCAACUGGGUAUUUGCUGUCACUUCUGAAAUAAUCCAGUUCAAAACAAAUUUUCUAAAAAUGGGAUUGGUAUUCCUCGUGCUGAUCAGUUUGUCAGCUAUCGUUUCUGCCGUUGAUCUCCAUCGUGCAAGAAUGGAUUCAACAACAGUGUCGAAAUAUGUUUCACCGUGCAAGAAAAAAAGCCACGAUGCUUAUACUCUGUGCCGCAAAGAAUUGGCUGUAACCGAGAAAGGACGACUGGCUUGUGCAAAACAGUAUGUGGCUACUUUCCCAAAAUGUUUCUUUCCCUCGUUAGACAGUAAGAAGUCGUGUGGGAGAAUCCUUUUGGAUUCUUUCGCUCAGUGUGUCCUGGAAAGUUUUUCUUAUGGAGAAAUCUUUGCAUGCAAUAACGAGAAAGAUGAGUUUUUAAAGAAAUGCACCUCAAAAGGUAUGGAAGACGAGUCAGAAGUGUCCUUUAUUCUGAAUAAGAGAGAAAAUGUGCAGGCGUGUAACGAUUGCUACACGCAUGACGAAAUGUGCAGAACCAUUGCAGUAGAUAAACAUAAUCAUGAUUUCUGCAUUACGGCCUUUCAAAUUUGUAGAGAGAACAAUAAUUGUAAUAAGUAGUGCGAGCAUCGUGAACGUCGAAGAAGCAGAGGAAAUAUCUAUCCCUCGCGGAAGGAGCCACAUUUGUAUGAAGAUAGAGCAAUAUAAACAAAACCUAGCUCAUUGCAAAAAGAAACCUUAUUUAUAAAAAUAUAAAGACGUAAACAAUCUUCAUGAUAAUUUGUGUCAGAAUAUUUACACAUAACACGCGACCUUAUUUAAUGUAACAUUUAUUUGGUUAUUCCAGAUGUUCUUGCGCCUUUGCUAA